rnacentral:rRNA from 1 species
ACGCUCGACACCUACUGGAGGCAGCAGUGGGGAAUAUUGCACAAUGGGGGAAACCCUGAUGCAGCGACGCCGCGUGAGCGAAGAAGUAUUUCGGUAUGUAAAGCUCUAUCAGCAGGGAAGAAGAAAGACGGUACCUGACUAAGAAGCCCCGGCUAACUACGUGCCAGCAGCCGCGGUAAUCUGAGCGGGCUGGCAAGGC